GAAUAAAUAACUUAGACAUUUUAUGGUUCAGUUUUGUUAUAUUAUUUGAAUAUCUGAGUUUUCAGUUGGAUUUAUGAUGUAAUAAAAAGGAUUUGUGGAUUUCAAAUGUUGAAUGGUUUUCUACCCCUCGUGGUAGCAUUUCUAAAAGAUAAAAGUUUCCGUGUAGGGAACAGUUUUUAAAAGGUUUUCUGUGGAUUUUGUAUCUUAGUAUUUCAAAACCUGUUUCUGGGUUGGACACGUUUUAACUGAUAGAUGUAGAUUUAUGUUUAAAUAUUGAAUGUAUAACUGUAAUGUGAAUGGUGAAUGAAUGAUUGUAUAGUUGUUUCUAUAUUCAUUUAGUUGUGGUUGUAUCCAGUUUA
rnacentral:lncRNA from 1 species